AAAAUUUCGAAUUUUGGAGGGAUUUAUAAAAUUAAUUGGUGACCAAAAUAUUUAGUCGCCAAAUUACUUCUUUUAGCGACUAAAACAAUUUUAGUCGGCAAUAGUAUAUAGUUUAGGCUAAAAUAAUAUGUAGUCAGAUUUUUCGUACCUUUUUUAGCGACCAAAAUAAUAUUUAGUCGCCAAAUGGCAUGAAAUUAUUUACUCCUUAUAUACAUUUCCCGACAAAUAAAUCAUUUAGUCGUGGAAGCUCAAAAUUUUAUUUCAGAUUCGCGCCUGUCUCACACUUUUACCCUCUCUACGUAUAUACCACAACCACAGAACCUCUCUCUCAGCAAACCUCACCACCACAAAUCAACAAACCUCACGGCGAUCAAACCUCACGACCGCGCAUCCUCAACACCGUCGGUCCUCAUACGCCACAAAUCAGUACCGCCACCACCGCUAACAGCACUACAUGCUUUAAGCUUGAAGAAUAUCAUAAUGCCAAGGCAGCACUGGAAAAGGGUACUGAUUUAGCACAAAAUGAUUCAUGAUUCACCAAACUGAUUACAGAGUGUGAUGAAUGUAUUGCAACUAAGUGUUACUAUUGAUGUCCCUGAUGGAAAAAAGUAUCAUUUUCAGCCAAGACUAUUUGGAAAGUUCCAAUUCAAUAAUUAAGAAGAAGGAUUGGAACUUGUGGAUUGAUGUUGGAAAGAAUGUGGUGAGGAGAGAAAAUAUAGAGGCCGCUGUAAAGAGGGUGAUGGACGGCGGUGAUGAUAACAGAGAAGGCUAAAGUGCUGGGAGAGAUGGCAUUGAAAGCUGUUAAAGAAGGUGGAUCAUCUCAUAAAAAUUUGACAGUGUUGAUUGAAGAGCUUAAGCAACUAAGAGAUCAAAGGGCUAAGGAUGAUUGAGGGUUAUUACAUUGUCUAUGUCUCUGUUCUUCCCUGCUUAUUACAUUUUGUUGAAAUAAGGCAUUUGAAUGGCUUUUAAUAGUUAAAUUUUGUAUAUGGUUGGAAAUUGAAUGCUACAGGUUGUGGAGAAAUAUUUUUGUGGAGAAAUAUUUUUAUUGAAUGGUUGAGGAUUGAAUGAA